rnacentral:pre_miRNA from 1 species
CCGUGCUUCCUUACUUCCCAUAGUAUUUGAUAUCAUAUGGAAUGUAAAGAAGUAUGGAG